CCUACGGGUGGCAGCAGUGAGGAAUAUUGGUCAAUGGGCGGGAGCCUGAACCAGCCAAGUAGCGUGAGGGAUGACUGCCCUACGGGUUGUAAACUUCUUUUAUAAAGGAAUAAAGUGAGGCACGUGUGCCUUUUUGAAUGUACUUUAUGAAUAAGCAUCGGCUAACUCCGUGCCAGCAGCCGCGGUAAUACGGAGGAUCCGAGCGUUAUCCGGAUUUAUUGGGUUUAAAGGGAGCGUAGAUGGGUUGUUAAGUCAGUUGUGAAAGUUUGCGGCUCAACCCUAAAAUUGCAAUUGAUACUGGAAGUCUUGAGUACAGAUGAGGUAGGCGGAAUACGUGGUGUAGCGGUGAAAUGCUUAGAUAUAACGAAGAACUCCGAUAGCGAAGGCAGCUUACUAAACUGCCACUGACAUUGAUGCUCGAAAGUGUGGGUAUCAAACAGGAUUAGAUACCCCUGUAGUC
rnacentral:rRNA from 1 species